UGGGGAAUUUUGCACAAUGGGGGGAACCUUGAUGCAGCGACGCCGCGUGAGGGAUGGAGGCCUUCGGGUUGUGAACCUCUUUCGCUCGUGUGCAAGCCGCUAUUUGGGUAGUGGUGAGUGUAGCGGGUAAAGAAGCGCCGGCUAACUACGUGCCAGCAGCCGCGGUAAUACGUAGGGCGCGAGCGUUGUCCGGAUUUAUUGGGCGUAAAGGGCUUGUAGGCGGUUUGUCGCGCCUGUCGUGUAAUCCUCUGGCUUAACUGGGGGUGUGCGGUGGGUAAGGGCAGGGUUGAGUGCGGUAGGGGAGGUUGGAAUUCCUGGGGUAGCGGUGGAAUGCGCAGAUAUCAGGAGGAACACCGGUGGCGAAGGCGGGUCUCUGGGGCGUUACUGACGCUGAGGGGCGAAAGCGUGGGGAGCGAACAGG
rnacentral:rRNA from 1 species